CUCGGUGAUUUGAGCGAGAUGGAACGACCCCAUCCCAUUCCGAACUGGGAAGUCAAACGUCUUAGCGUCGACAAUACCUACUCCGCAAGGAGUCGGGAAGAUAGAUCAUUGCCGGGG
rnacentral:rRNA from 1 species